UACGUAGGGUGCAAGCGUUGUCCGGAAUUAUUGGGCGUAAAGAGCUCGUAGGCGGUCUGUCGCGUCUGCUGUGAAAACUCGGGGCUUAACCCCGGGCCUGCAGUGGGUACGGGCAGACUAGAGUGCGGUAGGGGAGACUGGAAUUCCUGGUGUAGCGGUGAAAUGCGCAGAUAUCAGGAGGAACACCGGUGGCGAAGGCGGGUCUCUGGGCCGAUAUCGACGCUGAGGAGCGAAAGCGUGGGGAGCGAACAGG
rnacentral:rRNA from 1 species